UACGGAGGGGGCUAGCGUUGUUCGGAAUUACUGGGCGUAAAGCGCACGUAGGCGGCUUUGUAAGUUAGAGGUGAAAGCCCAGGGCUCAACCCUGGAAUUGCCUUUAAGACUGCAUCGCUUGAACAUCGGAGAGGUAAGUGGAAUUCCGAGUGUAGAGGUGAAAUUCGUAGAUAUUCGGAAGAACACCAGUGGCGAAGGCGACUUACUGGACUAUUGUUGACGCUGAGGUGCGAAAGCGUGGGGAGCAAACAGG
rnacentral:rRNA from 1 species